rnacentral:lncRNA from 1 species
CCAUGACCCGCCAUGGGGUACGCUGGGUGAACCCAACAUGUUCCAGCUCCCCAGACUCUCACAGGUCAUAGAAAAAGGCAGAGGCAUACGCUAGCUCAGUAAGGUGCCACAGGAGAGUGACAUUAGUUUGUUUGGGGCAGUGACUCCUCUGUGAGCGCAGGUUCCUACCAUCUCUUCCCAUCAUGGCUUGUUUCAACAUCCCUUCUUGCACAGCAGAGAAGAAGGACAAUUGCACAUGAAUACAGGAAGGAGAGCAGGCUAGGCUUGGGGGAAAGCCCAGAGUGUGCUAUGGGGAAUCAGUGAGGAUCUCAAAGGUAAGGCACAGACUUUCCUCUGAGGGCAAUAAGGAGCCACAGAAAGGUUUGAAGCCAAGCGGGAUGUGUUUGAUUCUACAUUUCUUUCAUUCAUUCCUUCACUCAUUUAUUCCAUCUGUCAACAGAUUAUUCAGUGAGCACCCCCUAUUCGAAAGUAAUUCUCAGGUAGAGGAGAAUGAAUGGAGGGGCUGGACUUGUGCAGACAGACAAGUGAGAAGGCUGAUGAAAUGACCCAGGUCCAGGGUCACAAGCCAGACCCUGGCCUUUGGGGCUUGGCCUUUGGCUCAGGAAACAUGAUCACAUGCCUAUGUGCUGAAGCGUACAGGCUACCUCCUGGAUGGCCCCCCAAAUUUUCUCUGGGCA